rnacentral:lncRNA from 1 species
ACAGCCUGAGGUGCCACCAAAGCCAUAAGCCCAGGGGAGUCUCUCACACCCCAUUCUCCUAGGGCCCAUGUACCCCACGCCCACCUCCACCCCAGGAGCCGAAGGCCGGCAGGGAGCCUGGAGAGCCUCCUUGAUGGGAGAACUGCGGAGCUUGCCCCUCGGAAAAGUGCAUGGGGUGGAGAACAGGGAAGGAGAAAAAAACAACAACUGGGUACUCGCAGCCCCACCGCGGUGUCCGCUUCGCCGGUGGGAGAGGAUCCUCGCCGCCCUGAAUCCUUGAAAUCCUUGCCGAGCAUCUGCUCUGUACAGGCCGUGUACUAAGUGCUAGAGAGAUGGUGUGGGGUAGAUAAUGGCUUCCAGAGAUGUUCACGUCCUGAUCCACAGAUCCUAUAUGUGAGUGGAAAAAAGCCACAAAUUGAAAAUGUUUUUUAUCUGCUCUCACAUCACAACAAUCAACACAGAAGACUUCUGUGCCCACAUAUGUGAGGAUUUCUCUCACCAGCAAACAAGCAAUCAGUUCUGCAGUGGACACCAGCUGGGUGUCCUCCGAUUCAGUUCUGACACUCUCUACCUAAAGACCGCGUCCGAUCCCAGAGGUUGAGGGCUCUGGGUGUCCUCCGAUUCAGUUCUGACACUCUCUACCUAAAGACCGCGUCAGAUCCCAGAGGUUGAGGGCUCAGUCUCACAAGACUGCCCCCCGACUUCCGCCGCCAACCGCAAGCCCCUGGUUGUUUUACCUGUGCUUCUGACCAAGCAGGACAUCAUGACCUCCAGUGUGCAUUCAACCUAACAGAGCUGCUAAACUCAUUGCCUUUCUGCUCUGCCUCUCCUCUCUCCUGCAACACCCUCUCUGUCUCAUAAAUAUAGUCACAAUUUUCUCAUGGUUUAAGCCAAGAAACAGUUAAAAACUCUAAAGUCUUUUAUCCAAUGCAUUAAAAAACUGAGAUACUAAAUUAGAUAAGUUGUUAUCCGGUAGAACUCACGAAAGAAUCAAAUGUUCUCGACAAAAUUUAGAACAAAAUUUGACCCUGGAAAAUGGAGGUGAUAGAAAUAAAGUCCACAAAAGGAAACUUGCCACGGCAGCAGCUAUCAUUGGUGAAAGUUGAUAUUGACAAAAAUCGAUCUAUGAACCACAGUUCUGAUAUAAAAUUCAAAUGAAAAAGAAUUGGUCCCAAUGAAAAUAAUUUCAGUCCAUUGGAAAUGAAAAAGUGGAAAAAUUGGAAAUAGUUUAACCGAGCUUUUUACAGAAUUGAUCAAGGAAUUAAAUUGACUUAAUGGAGUCCAUUCUGGAAAACCCUUUCCCAAGAAAAAUUCAUCAGUCAGAGAACUUCUGAGUUACAUAUUUGUAUUAAAAAUAUCUCCAUAGGCUGGGUGCAGUGGCUCAUGCAUGUAAUCCCAGCACUUUGGG